rnacentral:piRNA from 1 species
UACAGCUUGCUCUCUGAGACCUGGGG